GAUGAAGAACGUAGCGAAAUGCGAUACUUGGUGUGAAUUGCAGAAUCCCGUGAACCAUCGAGUCUUUGAACGCAAGUUGCGCCCGAAGCCAUCAGGUUGAGGGCACGUCUGCCUGGGCGUCACAUAUCGUUGCCCAAUGCCUAUUGCAGUGCAAUAGGAAUUUCUAGGGCGAAUGAUGGCCUCCCGUGAGCGUUGUUGCCUCGCGGUUGGUUGAAAAUCGAGUCCUUGAUAGGGUGUGCCAUGGUAGAUGGUGGUCGAGUUAGAACGAUACCGAUCAUGUGCAUGCUCCCCAAAAUAUGGCCUCUAUGACCCACACGCGUCUUUUGACGCUCAUGACGAGACCUCAGGUCAGGCGGGGCUACCCGCUGAAUUUAAGCAUAUCAAUAGCGGAGGA
rnacentral:misc_RNA from 1 species